UACGUAGGGUGCGAGCGUUUGUCCGGAAUUAUUGGGCGUAAAGAGCUCGUAGGCGGCUUGUCGCGUCGACCGUGAAACCUCACAGCUCAACUGUGAGCCUGCGGUCGAUACGGGCAGGCUAGAGUUCGGUAGGGGAGACUGGAAUUCCAGGUGUAGCGGUGAAAUGCGCAGAUAUCAGGAGGAACACCGGUGGCGAAGGCGGGUCUCUGGGCCGAUAUUGACGCUGAGGAGCGAAAGCGUGGGGGAGCGAACAGG
rnacentral:rRNA from 1 species